GCCAAUUCCGUACCGGCGUCGGCGCAAUCGUCAUCGCAGUUGAAAUAAUUGCUCUGCGCAAAGGAAACAGCGAAUUAGCAUGAAAUGAUGGUCGAGGAGUCAGUGAGACCUCGUUCACAACAUGCUUUCAGGCAAACAACUUUCCUAACAACGGCGAGUGCACACAUCGCAAGUAUUAUGAUGACAAAAAAUAUGCCACAUCUCUUCAAGGCAAAAAAGAUACUUCUAGAUGACGUACGUAUGUUAUUAAAAUGUAAGCGCAAUCCUCGCGUAAAUUAUUUCCCAGAGUUUCUUGCGAGAAAAAAUUCCACGUGCACACAGAGAUUUCGUAAUGAUUUCUUUUUUCCGUGUUUUUUAUCCUUGGGAUAUAAAAGAAAUAUUAUUAAAAUCGUGCGACUAUAUGAGAGAUCUCCCGUUUCUGAAUUUUAUUCUUUAAUAAUUCUCUUGUAAAAGAUAAUUCUUGUAAGGCAUACGUUCUGCGGUAAAUUUUACCGCGUUCCGUCUUUUAAGAAAAUAAAAUGUAUUUGUAUGCAAAACCAAAAUGAGAAUGUAUUAUUAACAUUAUGAGAUAUGCAGAAUACUCGUCUGUAAAUUUUAUUUGGUACUGUUUCUCGUAAUGAUCAAACUUUUAUAUUUCAAGAAAAACUUCAGCCGCAACUUUGUAUAGUUAGUCCGUGUAGUUAGAAGCAAAUUGCAAGCACAUCAUUAAAAAUAUGGAACUACAUACGAUCCUUUUAUCAUGUUCUAAAAAGCUUUCUAUGUGCAAGAUAAAAAUGAAAGAAUCAUAUAAUAUAAAGAGCGAUUCAGAGAGUGUGAUGCUUAGUUGCGUGCAAAUCAUUAAAAAUCGCUCGCUGAAAUGAGCAUAUUCACAUAAUGAUCGUGCUUCCAUAUUGUGGGUGCCCGAAACUCGUCUUGGCGGAAGAAAAUAAUUGGAAUCGAAUAAUUGGAUUCAACUUGAGAAGUUGGAGAAUUAUAAAUGAAGAUCUCUCGAUUCUCGGUUUGCGCGUAAACAGUUUUCCACUUGCAUAGUUUUACAACUUUCGCGAACCAUUUGGUUAGUGCGUCAGAAGAAUAGUAAUUACGCCGAGCUCGGCUUGAGUUCCCUGCUAUUAUUUAGAUAACGUAAUUCUCGCUUACAUCAUAUUUUUAUUGAAAAGAUUUUUCACCAGAUUUGCUGAAAAUCUGAUUGCGACCGACAAAACUGAGAUGAAGUAACGCAGGUUCAACGUUCUCCGCGCGCAGACCAGCAAACUGCUAUAUAUUGUGAAUUUUCACCAAAAUGCAAGAUGCACUUUUAGCAAGCACAGCAAGCUUCAUCUCCAGACACGGUCGAAGUAGCUUAAACCUCGCUCUUAAUGUACCUCCAGCUGCGUUUGGGAAGUCUUCAAGGAAGGAAAUGGAACUCCUCGGGAAAUUCAGCGGAAUGCUACAUUCGGUUGCAACUGAGUAGAUGAUUUCGCUAAAUAGUUUCAUAAUAUUCCGAACUGAAAAAAAGUACUGAUCGGAUAAACUCAAUAAAUAUUUUGGGUAAUUUCAACGUGGAAUAAUUACAAGUUGAUUAAGUAAAAUUACAAUUAAUCGCAAAUUUAUAUCAUGUGCUAAUUCAAUCUUAUUUAAGAAAUACUUAGAAAUAGAUAUCUUUCCCAUAUAUAAAGGAAAAUACAAAUAGUUUUUAUAAAAAUACAAAUUUUGUAAAAAUUAUAAAAAAUUAUAUCAAGCAUCGAAACAGUAUAUUAAAUUGAUAUGAACAUAAAUAUGAUCUAAUAUCGUACACUUUGAGAGCAACUAGCUCUCAAAGUUCUAAUUAAUAGUGAUAACCUCGAUCGAGCUGCAUCCUCUCUUAUCGGGAAGUUCAUGGCGAAACACAUACGAGAGAGUGACUCGAGCAACUCCUUUGUCGGCAGAAAGUGCAUCUUGUCCUCUUGUCGAGCAUCCCUCUGAGAGAGAUGCAGUUAACACAACUCCCUAACGAAAACGUCGAUACAUCGAUGUCACCAGCAACUUUGAUCGAGGCAGUUAUCAUUUAAUAUUAUUCAUCAUCUAGUGAAAUCAUAAUUUAACUCAAAAUAUUUUAUAUAUAUCAAUAUUUCCAUGCAGCAAAAUAAACAAAUACGUUAUAUUUCUGUGACAAACAUUUCAUUUUAUAUUUCAUUUUAAUCAUAUAAUACUAUGUAAAAUAUAAUAAAUUUUUCCAUCAUCUACUUCAUUUUCAUAAUGUGAUCUUAAAGUAAUAAUUCUCACAAAAAACAUAAUUGAGUUGCAGCAAACGUGAAUUAAAGCAUUUACUAUAUUGAUUUUACUGAGCAAAUUAAAGAAGAAGACCAAUAUCGUAAACCUUUGCAAAAAGCUUUUGUCGCUCAUGUUUACAAAACUACAAAGAUAAUAAUCAAUAUUUUAUAUACUCGAAGUUUGAUUUAUCUUCAAUAUCAUUCACUAAUAAUAAAACAAAGAGAAAACACAAUCUUAGCUCCAUUCAUUCUCUUUUCUGCAAUCGAUCGAUGUCGCAUGAAACCCCAUGUUGAACGAUCAUAUCUCGGAGAACAAAAGCUUUCUCCUCCUUUUUGGCUAUAGUCGUUUCUCUUUUCUCCUUACAAUGACAUGAUCUUUAUUUUAUUACAUCUAGGUGGCGCCUGAAGGAAACGUCAUCUUCAGAGUAGUCUACGUUGGACAAAAGAGGUCGAUGGCAAAUGACAAAGAGAUCAAAUGGUGGGCGAUAACAAGCGCCAAGCUGAUUCGAUGUACCAGGUGUACAGGGGAAGUAGGAUUCCAGGUCUAUCCCUUGGGACACAUACCCCAUCGUAGCUCGUAUUUCUAGCUGCGCGCAUGAACUUUCCUUGAAUCCUUCAACACUGAUAGAUAAGCCGGGCGAAAGGACAGGCUUAGAUAGAACGACUGACGAAGACUUUUUGCCACGAGAAAGCGAAUGCUGCGAAGGGUACCUCGCAGUAGGGAAAAAAAUAAUUUCUACUUGAUGUUGAAAAAUGUAUUGCAAUAUUUAGUCCCCUCCGUAGUGUAUUAUAUCCAUCAUAUUUCUUCUUACGAGGUCAAGUGGAGAAAUAUCCCAUGGGGUUAGGAACCUGCAGAUAUAUUUAGAUAACUCCUCAAACUCUCAGAUACGUUAUUUCAUAAAUCUUUAUUUUUCCAAGAUAGCUUUUAAACUAUCCGACUAUAAUUAUCUUACCAAUAAACUAUCUUACUGCUCUUAUUAAAAUUUUACUGUUAUUGCCCUCAUGGAUUUUCCAGAUUGAAAUAAAUUGAUGCUACUUUUGAAAUCGAUUGAAUAAAGAGGUUUUUUUCUCGAAAAGGGAACAUUAUGCAUUCUGAAAG
rnacentral:lncRNA from 1 species